AUAGUAGUGAAUAGUGAUUACAUGUAGUUCUUUUUUUUUCUCUCUCUUUUUAUUCUAAAAAAUCGUACGAAGUACCAAGCGUGCCAAAUCCACCAGUCUUCUUCUGUCACAUCACGUAUAUAAAUAUGACCCUUUAUUCUCGAUUUUCGGUUUCUUUUCGGGCGUCCAGAGAGAUCAAACAUCAAAUUGCUCUGCCUCUUCGUCGUCUGGUACCGGCGUUUUUGGUCUCCUCGCGUGAAGCAUCGCAUACUAUCCGUUCCUUUUACUCGGGUUCUCGUUCGUUCUCUUGGAACUUUUCCUCGAAUUUUUCUUCUUCUUCAAUCUUUGUCGUCCUCCAUCUUCGUGCUUCUCAACAUAUGUUCAUGCUUACCAUGCGUGUCUGUGAUAUAAUUUCCCGCUCUAAUUUUACUUUAAUUAUCGAUUCAGCUAUUGUUUAUGGCUUCUCAGUUCGAUCGUAUUUCUCAUUGGAGGAUAACGUCGUCUCGGAAGCUAGUUCUCAGAUCCGUUUGGUUUGGCUUUAAUCCGCGAGGAGAAGAAAACUGAAAAAGGCGAGAAUCCGAGCUCAACUUUUCCGCUGCCUGCGAAUUACUAGGUCGUCUUGUUGAGUGCGUCCUCUUGUGAACCAAACAGACAUUACGAUGUAGAAUCGCUUAAUUGCAGAGUUCGUCUUUCAUCUGACAUUACUAGCUCAAGGUUACUGUGUCCAAGAUUCCUGCUCUAAUGAUUACUCUUCUGGAUUGUUCUUUCGCCAUGCGUGAGUUUCUUUCAGCUGACAUCCGGGAGCUACAGAAUCUCUCUAUUGUGUAGGGGUUAUAUUGAAAUGGAACUUUCGAAAUUUUGCCUCUUCAUUCCAGCAAUGGUCAAGUAUAGUUGCAUUUUUUAGUUUAUAAUAUGCUGUCAACGAUUCCAGUUGAUUAUACUUUCAGAGCUACCUUUUCAUGUAGGUCUCUAGGUGUGCCAAAGUCACUUGAUUAGCAGUAGCAUGUGUUGCGUCUAUCCCACUGUCUCUAAGCUUGUGACCAAUACUGUUUGAGCGGUUAUGUCUGGAGUGAGGCCAAGACAUGAACACUCUAUACCAAACCAAGGGGUGUGGGCUUACACGGUCAUGUGCACACUACAUAGCUGCCUAGAAACUAAGGUUUAAUGGGAUAGCACGGAGAUAUCGGUAAUCCAUGCAUGGCUCGAUGGCUCAAUGGCACGUAUAGUGGCUGGACAUGGCUAAGCAAUGGUAUUGCGAUUCAACAUAGAUUUGGAAUGACUAGGUCAAGAGGGAUAGCAUGUCCAACAGGCAAGUGCUAGAUUUUAUCUAUGAGCUACUGAUAUGUCACAUGGGUCGAUAACAUUUUAUCUCCAUCACCUAUCAUUUAACCUAUCAAGUAGUUCUACACUUAGUAAUUUGAUUUUUUU